rnacentral:rRNA from 1 species
GACGAACGCUGGCGGCGUGCUUAACACAUGCAAGUCGAGCGGUAAGGCCCUUUCGGGGGUACACGAGCGGCGAACGGGUGAGUAACACGUGGGUGACCUGCCCUCAGCUCUGGGAUAAGCCUGGGAAACCGGGUCUAAUACUGGAUAUGACUCCAUGACGCAUGUUGUGGGGUGGAAAGCCUUGUGCGGCUGAGGAUGGGCCCGCGGCCUAUCAGCUUGUUGGUGGGGUGANGGCCUACCAAGGCGACGACGGGUAGCCGGCCUGAGAGGGCGACCGGCCACACUGGGACCGAGACACGGCCCAGGCUCCUACGGGAGGCAGCAGUGGGGAAUCUUGCGCAAUGGGCGAAAGCCUGACGCAGCGACGCCGCGUGA